rnacentral:rRNA from 1 species
AACGCCAAGAACCUUACCAGCACUUGACAUCCAACUAACGAAAUAGAGAUAUAUUAGGUGCCCUUCGGGGAAAGUUGAGACAGGUGGUGCAUGGUUGUCGUCAGCUCGUGUCGUGAGAUGUUGGGUUAAGUCCCGCAACGAGCGCAACCCUCGCCAUUAGUUGCUACGCAAGAGCACUCUAAUGGGACCGCUACCGACAAGGUGGAGGAAGGUGGGGACGACGUCAAAUCAUCAUGCCCCUUAUGUGCUGGGCUACACACGUAAUACAAUGGCCAUCAACAGAGAGAAGCAAUACCGCGAGGUGGAGCAAAACUUCAAAAAUGGUCUCAGUUCGGACUGCAGGCUGCAACCCGCCUGCACGAAGUUGGAAUUGCUAGUAAUCGUGGAUCAGCAUGCCACGGUGAAUACGUUCCCGGGCCUGUACACACCG